rnacentral:rRNA from 1 species
CCCAGACUCCUACGGGAGGCAGCAGUGGGGGAUAUUGCACAAUGGGGGGAACCCUGAUGCAGCGACGCCGCGUGGGUGAAGGAGCGUUUCGGCGCGUAAAGCCCUCUCGGCAGGGAAGAAGGAGGACGGUACCUGACUAAGAAGCCCCGGCUAACUACGUGCCAGCAGCCGCGGUAAUACGUAGGGGGCAAGCGUUAUCCGGAUUUACUGGGUGUAAAGGGGGCGCAGACGGCAGCGCAAGCCAGGAGUGAAAGCCCGGGGCCCAACCCCGGGACUGCUCUUGGAACUGCGCGGCUGGAGUGCAGGAGGGGCAGGCGGAAUUCCUGGUGUAGCGGUGAAAUGCGUAGAUAUCAGGAGGAACACCGGUGGCGAAGGCGGCCUGCUGGACUGCGACUGACGUUGAGGCCCGAAAGCGUGGGGAGCAAACAGAAUUAGAUACCCCAGUACG